rnacentral:misc_RNA from 1 species
CACAGCAGCCCAUGAAGAACCUGAAUCAAACCAUACAUCCAUUGUAUCCAUCCCUUUUUCAUAGUCUGAUGCUCUAUUGCGAUACUUUUCAGGAAGUAGGUCCUCCACUUUCAUAUACCACCAUGCAUCACUACCCUUCUGGGCAAUUAUAGACUUAAUAUGAUCAAUAGUCUCUGCAUUCAUAAGGGGUUCCUUUGACUCCACAUGAUAAAAGACUGGAAUGGGGACACCCCACGUCCUUUGCCUUGAUAUGC